GUAACUGUUUAGGGCUGAAAAGGCCCUAAGCCCGGCCCGAUAACUUCGUAAAACCUAAUUGAACUCAUCUUCUUUCCAGCCGCCUCUUCACUGUUCUAUCGUCUUCUCUUCUUAUAUUCAUUGUUGUUUUUUCGGUACUUGCUUUGCUCUCUCAUCACAGUAUCAGUGCGAGAGAGACCUCGACCUUCUUCGUUUGCCGCCGUCUUUUCCUCUAGUCGUCAGCUCAACUUCGCAACCAUG